AUUGAACGCUGGCGGCAUGCUUUACACAUGCAAGUCGAACGGUAACAGGCCGCAGGGUGCUGACGAGUGGCGAACGGGUGAGUAAUGCAUCGGAACGUGCCCAGUCGUGGGGGAUAACGCAGCGAAAGCUGUGCUAAUACCGCAUACGAUCUAUGGAUGAAAGCGGGGGACCGUAAGGCCUCGCGCGAUUGGAGCGGCCGAUGUCAGAUUAGGUAGUUGGUGGGGUAAAGGCCUACCAAGCCGACGAUCUGUAGCUGGUCUGAGAGGACGAUCAGACACACUGGGACUGAGACACGGCCCAGACUCCUACGGGAGGCAGCAGUGGGGAAUUUUGGACAAUGGGCGCAAGCCUGAUCCAGCAAUGCCGCGUGCAGGAUGAAGGCCUUCGGGUUGUAAACUGCUUUUGUACGGAACGAAAAGCCCUGGGUUAAUACCCUGGGGUCAUGACGGUACCGUAAGAAUAAGCACCGGCUAACUACGUGCCAGCAGCCGCAGUAACAC
rnacentral:rRNA from 1 species